CUCUCGCUAAUUCGAGUCCCGCGCUCGCCCCGAGGGUUCCCCGCGAAGCAACAUUAGUAUUCACGGUGGAGGUGCCCGAGCAGC
rnacentral:rRNA from 1 species